CCUACGGGAGGCAGCAGUGGGGAAUAUUGCACAAUGGGGGAAACCCUGAUGCAGCGACGCCGCGUGAGUGAAGAAGUAUUUCGGUACGUAAAGCUCUAUCAGCAGGGAAGAAAAUGACGGUACCUGACUAAGAAGCCCCGGCUAACGACGUCCCAGCAGCCGCGGUAAUACGUAGGGGGCAAGCGUUAGGCGGUUUUACUGGGUGUAAAGGGAGCGUAGACGGCAGCGCAAGUCUGGAGUGAAAUCCACUUGCUUAACCAUGGAACUGCUUUGGAAACUGUGAAGCUAGAGUGCAGGAGAGGUAAGCGGAAUUCCUAGUGUAGCGGUGAAAUGCGUAGAUAUUAGGAGGAACACCAGUGGCGAAGGCGGCUUACUGGACUGUAACUGACGUUGAGGCUCGAAAGCGUGGGGAGCAAACAGGAUUAGAUACCCCUGUAGUC
rnacentral:rRNA from 1 species